rnacentral:rRNA from 1 species
GACGAACGCUGGCGGCGUGCUUAACACAUGCAAGUCGAGCGGUAAGGCCCUUUCGGGGGUACACGAGCGGCGAACGGGUGAGUAACACGUGGGUGACCUGCCCUCAGCUCUGGGAUAAGCCUGGGAAACUGGGUCUAAUACCGGAUAUGACUCCAUGACGCAUGUUGUGGGGUGGAAAGCCUUGUGCGGCCAGGGAUGGGCCCGCGGCCUAUCAGCUUGUUGGUGGGGUGAUGGCCACCAAGGCGACGACGGGUAGCCGGCCUGAGAGGGCGACCGGCCACACUGGGACUGAGACACGGCCCAGACUCCUACGGGAGGCAGCAGUGGGGAAUCUUGCGCAAUGGGCGAAAGCCUGACGCAGCGACGCCGCGUGGGGAUGACGGCCU